rnacentral:rRNA from 1 species
CAGUCGCCGCGGGAAUACGAAGGGUGCAAGCGUUAAUCGGAAUUACUGGGCGUAAAGCGUGGGUAGGCGGUUUGUUAAGUCUGUUGUGAAAUCCCCGGGCUCAACCUGGGAAUGGCAAUGGAUACUGGCAAGCUAGAGUGUGUCAGAGGAUGGUGGAAUUCCCGGUGUAGCGGUGAAAUGCGUAGAGAUCGGGAGGAACAUCAGUGGCGAAGGCGGCCAUCUGGGACAACACUGACGCUGAGGCACGAAAGCGUGGGGAGCAAACAGGAUUAGAUACCCGUGUAGUCCCUGUCUCUUAUAC